rnacentral:tRNA from 1 species
AUUUAAAUAGUUUAAAAAAAAUUUUAGUUUGUGGAACUAAGGAUAUCUGUAUGGUUUUAAAUU